AAUAUCCUUGGGAUAUUAGAAGGGACUUAUAGUUAGAAUACAUAAAGAGUUUCUACAACUUAAUAAGAAAAAAAUAAACAAAAUAUUUGAACAGGAACUUCACAGAAGACAAUAUAUGAAUGGCCAAGGAGCACAUGAAAAGAUCAUCAACAUCAUUAAUCAUCAGGGAAAAUAAAUGAAAAUUGCUGUAAGAUACUGCUGUGCACCUGCUAAAAAGGCAAAAAGUAAAGACUUACAGCACAAAAUAUUGGUAAUGUCAUUGAGUACUGGAAGUCAUACAUCACUGUGGGGAAAUCAAAAUAGGAGAUAACCUGGAAGUUUCUUAUAAAUAUGCACUUGCCAUUUUACCUAACAAUAAUUCCAAGAGAAAUGAAAAUGUAUGUUUAUAUGAAGACUUGUAAUGAAAUGUUCAUGGCAGCUUUAUACAUGAUGCAUAAAAGACAGAAACAAUCAAAUGUCCAUCUACGGUGAAGCUAUGUACAAAAUGUGUGGUAUAGCCAUAUAAUGGGUAAAAAUAAAAAAUAAAUUAAAAACAAUAAAAAAUUAGCUAAUGAUAGCUUUAACAGUAUAGGCAAAUCUCAAAACAUUAAUCUGGGAAAAGAAGCUAGAAAAAAAUGAAAGCAGACUGUAGGAUUUGAUUUAUAUCAAAUUAUAGAUCAGGUAACAUUAAUCUGUAGUGACAGAAAAUAGAUCAGUAAUUUCCCAGGGUAGGGAUGGAAUGGGCUUGAGUGGACCAGGACACAAGGGACCUUUCAGGGGGAUGGAAGUGUUUUGUGUCUCAUAAGUGGUGCCAGUCACAAUGGUGUAUGCAUUAUAUGCAUUAGUGAAAAUGCAUUAAACUUUAUGCAUAAAAUGAGUAAAUUUCAUUGAAUGUAAAUUAUGCCUCAACAUGAUUGAUUUUAAAAGAAUAAUGAUUUAUAGGAGAAAAUCAUACAUUUCUCCAAGAAUCAUAAAUUCAAUCCAACUUUUUAAAAAGAACAUGUCAUACAUACUUUUAAGUGUCUUUAUCUAUUUUUAUACAGUCCUGUAAAUAUUAUGUAGUUAAUAGAAGCACUAAGGCCUGGAAAGUUGUUCAAGAUAUCUGAAACACAUGUGACAAACAAUUUAUAAUAAUAGCAACAGGUUAAAAUGUAUUAAGCGGCCAUAAUAUGUCAUGCACAGUAUUAAAUGCUUCACAUUUUUUGUUUCAUUAAUUACUACAAAUCUAUGAGAUAUAUAUCAAUAACAUACCCAUUUUGCAGGCAAGGAAACUGAGUGGUGGAGGGGUACAGAACUUGCUAAGAGGUCACAGAGUAGCAAGAGGAAAGUGUAUUGGGAUAUGGGGCGAAAGAGAGAGAAUGCUGAUGGGCUUACAAGAAAUUAUAAGGAGGAUGUGUUAUUGCCUUGGGACUUGAUUAUUUUGCCCACGAAGAAAGGCAGGAACAGUAUUCAAGCCAAAGGAACGGCGUAAGCACAGACAGCUGGGCAUGAAAAUGCAGGGGAGCUUUGUCCCUCACAUUUUAGUUUCUCCAAAGCUAGAAGAAAAAGAAAAGCUGUGUCGACUUAGCAGAAAACUAGGUAUGUUUUUCCCAACUCAGAAAAUAUCCCUGACUUCUUCCAUACUCUUUGUGUGCCAUGAACUUUAAAAUACUGUCUCUGGCACCCAGGAUCUUUCAUUGAAAAUGGCCGCGCAGAGCAAGUGGCAGUUGCAGGCCAGCCUGCCUUCCCUGCCCUCACUCCCUGACACAGUUGCUGGAGUGUCCCUCGGAUCAUACUUCUGUGUCUGUGGUCCAACCCUUAAAUUGUACCAAUCGACUCACAAAAUGGGCUAAAUGGAGAAUUUCUGGACUUGGCAUGGCUCUCCCUCAACCCAGAGAAGAAAUAUAAUUUCAUAUGGACUUUCUCAAUUCAGAAUUUUAAUUUUCUCAGUUCAAGAUUUAUAAAAUGUGUUGAUUAGAGAUAUUAUUUCAGUUUGGGUCUCAUUUUCCAAAUUUCUCAGGAUACCUAAAAUCUAUUGCCAUUUGUAAGGAAUUGAAUUGUAUUCCCCCUAAGUUCCUAAGUUGCACUAAUUCCUAACCACUAAUGUGACUGUAUUUAAAGAUAGGGCCUUUAGGAGGGAAUUAAGGUGACAGGAAGUCAUAAGUGUGUGGCCCUGAUCUGAUGAGAUUAGUGUGCUUACAAGAAGAGACACCAGAAAGCACCAGGUCGGCCUCUUUCUCCCCCACACCACGUCUGCCACGUGAAGACACAACGAGAAGGCAGCAUUUGCAAACCAGGAAGACCACUCGCACCGAGAACAGAGUCCACCCGCACUUUGAUCUCCAUCCGCACUUUGAUCUUUGACUUUCAGCCUCCAGGACUUCAAGACAUCAAUUUCUGUUGUUUAAACCCCUCAGUGUAUGGCAUUUUAUUAUGGCAGCCCACACAGACUGACUUCACUAUGUAGUUCUCAGAUAAAACUUAGAUGAUUUCCUUUUAUAAGUUAGAAUUAACUUGGAUUUACUGUUUCAUUCAUAAGUUUCUUGAAUCCUUGAAUACUUGACAGGCACUAUAGUAGUUACCUGCACUAACUACCACUACAUUUACCAUUCACAGUAACCUGGGAAAGUAAUGUUUUCAAUUUCCCCAUUUUCUAUAAAGGGAAACUGAGUAAAAGGGUGGUUUGAAAGGGCAAGUGAGUGGCAAACGAGGUCCACUGGAGACAAAAAUCUGCUUUCAGUCAUCAUGCUGCCCUGAAUGAAAACCAUGAAGCCGAAUUUUGAACCAACUUUUCAUUGUAUGCUGCUAAUUUGCAGCUGCCGCACUGGGAUGCCUCUUCUAUCACGCUUUGUGUUUGAAUGUUGGGUGUACUACUUGGAGGCCUGCAGAGACUGAUGCUGUUGAUAGAUGUCAUCUCUUGUGAGCGCCAGUUGGCCAAGCUUCCUCGGAUGUGAACCACGCACAGGCAGCCCCUGACAGUCUCAUGACAGAAUGGUUUCAAAAUGGAACAAUAAUUUUCUGGGAACUCCGCCUCACCCUGUAAAAGUGAAGAUUGGACUUGGAAACUCAAAAGAUUACAUAAAUUUGUUGGUUAUAAGUAUUGGAUGUCUUCCCAUGGAGACUGGACCAGAGACAGCAACAUAGUUCCAGCGCGUGACAGCCUGAGCCUCAGCGGUUUUGACACUGUGGUCCCAUGAGCUCUAACUUCUGAUGAGGUUUCCUGGGGAUGUGCUGAGAACCAAGCAGAGAGUCUGUCCUGAAGUUCCACUUCGUCCGUUUCAUAUUUUGGGAUUACCUGUCAUAUUUGUUUUAAAGAUGGUUACUCUUGCUUGAAAAUAAAUUUAAAAAUGGUUUCUGUAUAACACUUAGUCUUCACAACAUUCCUGUGGGUUUGCUAUCCUGAUUUCCAUUUUAUAGAUGAAAGAAUUGGGGUUCUGGGUAGUCGUCUGGCGCAGGGUCACAGGUGGGUAAGUGGCCUCCCGCUCGGUAUUUCUCCACAGUCUCACUCAGAAGUAAGGAAAGAUGCCUCUGAGAGAAGUGACUUAAAUGUUCAUACACUAAUGCUCAUGCAUGUUCCUCACCA